GCUGAGUUGGGACCAGGUGGACCAUGAUGUACGGUGUGAGGGCGACAAGACUGGAGGGAAAAGGGGAAGCUACCAUAUUGGUAAUUUAUUUUGGGCUUUUUUCCGAAGAGCAUUGGGAAGUCAUUUGAAAGGCUCAGAGCAGGAAAACACACCUGUGCUGUAAUGAGAAUGGAUUGAAAAAGGACUGGGUACAGCGAGAAGAGGCGGAAAGUUGUCGCCAACAUCCAGAUACUGGAAACCCGCUCCAGGUGGAAGAAGUUAUAACAAUGGUGUGCUGCCCACAAGCAUGUAGACCCCAGAGCAACUGGUUGAUGAUGCUGACUCCCACUUACGUCACCAGCAGCCCAGCAGAAGAACGUCCACGAGCUGAUCAUACCCUUUUUGAACAAUUACUAUAAAACUUCUCACUAUCUUGCCCCAGUUGGGAGACACAGUUUUGAGGGCAUUAGCCAGCUGUGGCCCCCUUUCCCUGGCAAAGCAAUAAAGCUCUUUUUUUCUACUUCACCCAAAA